ensembl:lncRNA
GCGGCGGCGGCGGCGGCGGCGGCUGCAGCGGUCGGAGGGGACGCGCUGGAAGUGGGAGCUGAUGAGUGAAAAGAAAAAAAAUCCAAAGUGCAGGUCAGUGUAAAAUGUAGCUGACUGAAGGAAGACUGGUAAAUUCAGAAUUUUUCCAUUAUACAUCAGAAAUAGAGGAAAAAGGCAAACCUAAUCUUCCUGCACGAGGAGAAUAGCACGAAAUUUGGAGCCAGCGCUCGCUCGGGUAAGGCUGGCGGGCGGAGAACCCCGCGCGGCCCCACGGGUUUGGAAGAGGCCAGAGUACCGCCGGGCCGGGGGGCGGGGGGCUCUGGCUAGCUAGACUUUGCGCGCACGUUCUGCGCACCCCCCGCCUCUUGCCGCGGCAGCGGGCAGGGCAGUGGUUCCCUGUGGACGCAGCCACCUCCCUGUUUAAUUCCAGGGCCCAGCAGGGCAGCAGGGACGUUCGACGCCACCUUCCUCUCGCUCUGGCAUGGGAUGCACGCUUUUUGAGGCUGCUCUCCUCUGCUCCGGGCUCAGUAUAGACUGAGCGCUUUUCCCUCCUCCCCAUGAACCACAAACCUCGCGGAUCCCAACAGUUUCCCGAGACACUGACCAUACAGUCACUGAGCCAGGGCUCGCGACCCUCAGCCUGGCACACCCGACCCCAUUUCGGGGAAGCUUUAUUCUCCUGACGGCUCUGAGCUCCCGACAGGAAGCGCGGGGCGCUCAGGCCCCUGGAGAGGCCAGCUGGGGAACUUACAGCGGCGCAGAACCGCUGUCCCGGGCUGGGCAACCCUCACAGGUGUGCGCAACACACUGCGGCUGGCUCUGCGGGGAAAUGAAUCCUCAUGGAACAACUGCAGCACCCCAUUGCGACCCUGUGGGACGCCUCCAUACAACCAGCAGGCCGGGUGCUGGCCCCUGCAGCCACCUCGGAAGGAAAGAGGACAGCAGCGGGCGCACCUCUUGCGCACGCACGACCUGAGAUGCCCAGGCCCAGCGUCGGUUCCCUUGACCCUCCCAUUCCCCAUGCCGGCGCUCAUGGUGGCAUCCCCUCUCCACCGCCCUGGCCAGGCUGCCCAGCUCCUUGAGGACACAGGUGCCCCAAGCCCAUCCUGUGGGGGCACCAAGGUGGGGGCAGUUGAAGGGCUCUGCAUCCAGGAGGGCAAGGGGUGGAGUUCCCAAACAACACUCCCAGUGGAGGCUUGGAG